CCAGCUGUUGGCACUGCUGUGGA
rnacentral:piRNA from 1 species